UAUCUAUGUAACCACUAAAAAUAUUUACUAUGAAUCGAAUUUCAGUUAAAUGUCUUUAGAAUAAAAUAAAAUAUUUUACUCGACACGUUCCAUUUAAAUUGCUUUGACAAAAAGUAAUUAAUAUGUUUACUAAACGGUGGGAAUUUUCGCACCAAUAAUAGAUACAAAUCAUUCGGGUACAUGUAGUUUCGUUAUUAUUUUCCAAAAAACCACCAAUUGUCUAGUGACUUAUGUUACCAAAUGUGAGAACAAAACAUAGAAGGUAAGAAAUAUCAUUUCACGUUAUAAUAGUGUACACAUUGAUCAUAGUAAAACAUACAAAAUACAAAACAUGAAACGAUACAAAUUUUAUAACAAACGAUGCACAUCUCGACAAAUAAUGUCACUUCAGCGAUACUCGAGGCCAAAAUAUUUGAAAAUCCAAAACCUAUAAACAACGUUGAUGGCAUUUAUAAUCGAAAAAGACCAAACGUUGAACUAAACACGUACAAGAAAUCACAGUUAUGCAUGAGCGAGGUGUAUUUCUAAAGUUUAAAUGAUUUCACAAGUUUUAUAACAAAAUAUUUAAAAAAAUCACUAUAUUUACUUUCAUGGAAGUACAAAUGUCCUGAGAUAAAGGGCUGUUAAUACCAGUUCGGUGAUACUCUUGGGGACUAACAGAUUAAGUUUAUUUACAACAGUGUUUUUAAGGUAAAUAUAGACGGAGGAAAACAGAAAGUGGAGAUUAUGAAAAUUUUCUGCAAAUCAUCAUUAAAUUUUAGGCUACACAUCAAUGCAUUGACUUUUGUAUGACUGCAUAUUUAACUUCUUAGUGACAGCUUCAGACUUCUUAAAAAUGGUAGAAAUUAAACCACUAAAACGUUUCAAUAAUUUGUUUCUGCAAACAUCGGAUUUUAAAAAUGUGAAAGGUGUUAUGGAAAAGUUUGUAAUGACCAGUUCACACAACCACGGAAGAAAAAGAAAACUAUUCAUAGCUAGCAAUAUAUUAUUAUAAGGAAAGCUAAAAGAGUUAACAAAUGUAAACUGGCUAAAAGUCUAGCUUUGAACAAAACCUUUACUUGUGAAGCUCAUGAUAACUUAAUAUAUAUACCGAUGAAUAUCGAAGUGUUUUAUAUAGCAGCAUUGACUGUGCUUGUAGGCUUAUCACAAUGAACACUUUAAAUGAUGCUUUCUUUCACACACUCUAUAUAAAUAUAGAUGUGUGUAUAAGAGACUUCUUAGUGUGUGUCUCUCUUUUACUUAAUUAUCUCAAUAAUUACAGCUGACUUGGAACUGUUAACAAAACCUGUGGUCUUUGGAGAAAAUGUGCGACUUGCGUGCACCGCCAAUGAAACUGAAAUUCCACUUGAUAAACCUCACAGUAGAAGCUGGUCAGGCUGACCUUUUAAUAAAGUAUUGUACAUGAAUGCUGUCUCUGCAGACCUUUCGAAAUAUUAUGAAGUACUUGGAAAAGAUAAGUCUCAAUACAUCCUUGUUAUAAAACAAUUUUCAGAGACUGAGGUAGACUGUGAAUAUAAAUGUAUCAUUGUAGAUGAAACACGAAAAACACAUCAGCUCAACGAGGAGGACUAUGAAUAUAUUCCACCAAAAGAAACUACUACAGUAACUGCAAGCUUACAGCAUGGACAUUUCAGUGUAAACGUUCAUUUUGCUAAAGUAUGGCCCACACCAGUAUGUGAAAUCAUAUUUUAGGAUGUCAACUAUGGAAAACUGGCAAAAAUGUCAAAAAAGAAAAAUGGGAAAUUAUAUUCGGUCGACAUUAGUCUAAAACACACCUUAAGAAAGGAAGACUGUACCGGUGAAAUGUUGAUUUCCUGUCAGAUUGGAACAAAACACAUCGAAGUUCAGAGUUAACAUUUUAACACAUGCCCAGUCACCGUUCCACAGAAGGAUAGGAACUUCCUAAACGAUUACGUGCUAAUAGCACUGGUAAGUGCUGUUAUCAUGAUUUUAGUUAUGGUUUUUGUUAUAAUGAUAUCCAUGAUAAUUAGACAAAAAGGCUACAUUAAGUCCAUCACCGAACUCUACCUUGGAUAUCCUGGCAAAACUCGUAACGAGAUACCAUGGAACAAAGAACCAUUUUUGAAAGAAACAGAUGUGAGAAUACUUUUGAAGCCACAACAAGAACAGUCAUCCUGAGGACGGAAAAAAUGUCCAUGUAUUUUUAUUAUUGAUACAUUUCAAAUUAAGAAUAUCGACAAUAAAUGUUUCUUCAAUGAUGAUCGAAAAUAAAUGUGAUGACAUAUUUGACAAAAGUAAAACACAAAAUUACAUUUAUCAUUUAAAUAUCAGUAUCAUUAAAGGUACGGGCCGAUAUUUUCAAAGGGAGGGGGAUAGAGGUUGGGAUGCAAGCAAAUUUAUUUUUAUUAAAUUCAAUACCUAGGCCUGGUUAAAACGAAGAAAAAAUAAUUAUGCCAAGACAAGAUAAAAAAUUUCUAUCCCGUAAAAUACAGGGAAUAUAUAUCUCAACAAAUUUGACAUAAAACAAACUACAUAAAUGUGGUUUUCACAUGUUUUAUAUAUUUAUGAAAGGUUAUCUUAGUUUUUAUAUUUCGUGGGAUAGUUCAAUUGUUACCUAUUUAACAACAUGGGGAUGCAAUUAUCAACCUUUAAACUUUCUAAUAAAACAAUGAUGAUUAUAGAUAAAAACAAAUUAUAGAAAUAUUUAAACUGAUUGUAUGAUUUGUCGUUUACUUAGUGAAGUAUUUUUGGUAUUCGGGUAUACAUGGGGUACGUCAUUUUGGUAUAUGGAGGAUAGCUAUCUCACUGGCAAUCAUAUCUCAUCUACAUAUUUGUAUAUAUUCAUGACGCAUAUUAGUGUGACAAAAUAAGUAAAUUAUAUUACUCAUGUUAAUUAAUAUAUAUUAUUUUUAAGUUUAUAUGUUUUGCCUAUUUUCUUUGUUCUUUGACAUAUUUGUAUUUGUUAAC